UUAAGAACUAUAGCUAGAAGAGAUUUUGGGGUGAGGUUCUUUUGAUGUGAGAGAUAGAUGGGCUUCUGGGCUGGACAGGUGGGGUUCAUCAAAUGGAAUAAAACUGAAGCUUUGUUCUCACCCAGACACUCUGAGGACAAAGCUAGUGGCAGAAGCUGAGCUCUACUGCAAUAAAGAGGUAAAAAAACUCAGACGGACACCUUAGGUACAUGGAAGUCCCUUAUUCGGAGGAGCAAGUUUUUUCACAAGAUGACCUCAUGGAGAAGAGAGCACCUAUUUAACCCAGACUUCUAUGCAAGAGAAUAACAUGCUAUAAUCUUGCUUCAAAUACUGCAAUGCUCUCUCACGAGGCCAGCCAUGAUUGGACCAGGGAAAGGAAACUGGCUUCGCGAUUUGUCAAUGGUCCUGUCAGUCUGAAUUUGGAGUGCUGCGUCGUGCAGAUUCUAACUGCCGGCCCUGAAGGUGAACCCGGAACUGGCAGCUUGGGGGUGACUGUUGAAGAGGUGAAGAAACUGCAAUUGGAACGGUUCUGAGAUAAACAUGUGGCCAAAAUUAAAUGGCUGAAUUGCCCACGUCACAAACAGAUACUCUUGUAGGACUUUUGCAUGCAAAUUACCAAUCUCUGUUAUCAGUUAUUGAUUAAGGUAAGCCCUGCAUAAAACUAACCUAUGAUAUAAGUCUUAGAUAGGGACUUUAAUUUUACUAAAAUGAAGUAAAUAAGAAUCAUUAAAGGGGCCUCCCUGGUGGUUCAGUGGUGAAGAAUCUGCCUGCCAGUGCAGGAGACACAAGUUCGAUCCCUGAGCUGGGAAGAUCCCACGUGCUGCAAAGCAACUAAACCCAUGUGC